CUCUCUGGUGUCAACACUCUCCCCAGCUGUGUCAGACAGUGGAGAAUGACAAACAGGGGAUGAUGUAACCACAGGAGGUUGGUGACACCUUAAUUGGGGAGGACGGCCAUGUGGUAAUGGCUGGAUCGGAAUACGUGAAAAGUAUCAACAACAUCAAACACAUGGUUUCAAUGUGUUUGAUUCCAUUCGCUCCGUUCCAGCCACUAUUAUGAGGCGUCCACCCCUCCACUGGAUGUAAAACAGCACAGCUCUACAUUGGCGGUAUAUGAACCUCGCUGCCAGUCUUACAUAUGUUAACGCAUUUAAAAGGUAAACUAAUGCGCCUGGGAGAGAGCCUGGCCAGGAUGGAGCUAUUCCUCUUCUUCACCUUCAUGCAGAGGUUCUUGUUCUCCAUGCCGCCCAGAGUGAAGCCAGUGAUGGAACUACAACUUUGGCAUCACCCUGUCACCCGUUCCCCAUGACAUCUGUGCCACCCCGCACCAAUGAGAGGGCACGGAUCCAUUGAGGUGGCAUGGUUUCCCCACGCCUACAGUAACAGUUAACAUAAUUACAUGAGCAGUUUCACUCAUCAUCAAUAAGCUCAUAAUAAUCAUACACCCUGUUUUGAAUGGUCAUGAGACAGUUAUUUACAGCGACGGUUUCACUCAUCAUCAGUAAGCCCAUGUCUUGUUUUGAAUUGUCAAAUGACAUAAACUAGGCAAGGAAUGAAUAGUUUUGUACAGUGAGGUGUUGUGUGCUAUAUUUGGGUUAUAGAUUUUGAUGCUGUACAGAUAUAAUGACAAUCCAUGUCUGAAUGAAUGGGAUUAUUUUUAUUGUUAUUGUUGAUUUAUGAAAUGGAGAGACUGCUUUUCAUUCAUGUGUUCAUUUGAGAUAUACAGUAUUGCAGAAGAUAUGAAAUAAGUAUGAUUAAGAUAAGUAUAGAUAAAAAGGACUUGCCUUGACUGACCUUUGAACUAUAUUCUGAACUCUGAUUAUAUAUCGUUGAGGUGCUAUUUUGACUUUACCUGGCACCUUACAGGAGCAGAGUAUGUUCAAGCUAAAAAAGAAUGCUGUGUUUUGUUUUUCAGGGAAGUAAAUAAGUAAAGUAAACACAUUUUGUAUACAAUGUCUUCCAGAAAUAUCAUUUCCAGUAAAAUAAAAUUAAGAAAGAAUUUGAA